CAUGGCUCCCAAAUCUAGUCAGCAGAAUCAACUGAACAAAACCAUCUGUGUCUGAGUUCUAGCAUCAGUUAUGCAGAGAAGCAAUGCAAGAAUAUGAAGUUGUGGCUGUCCUUAAUACUGAAUAUUGCCAGGGAGCUUUUUUGAGAUUUUUUUUAAACAUAACUUUGUUUUCAGAAGUCAAGCCCUGGAACAGCUGUUCUUUUGUGAUGAAAUUCUCUUACCUUGAUUCAUGAUACAAACCCAUCUCUCAUGCAUCUCCAUAACCCAAUUAUUUGCAUAGCUCCAAAGAGAAUUUUGCAUAUUAACUAAAUCCAUUGCAUUCCGAGGUUUAGGAAACUGUAAUUAUUUUCAGUUAAAACUUUUCUUGGCUUUCUUUUUUUUUUUUUUUUUUUCGGUAGUUGGCAGUAAUUCUUAGAAAUAAUUAAUCUUCGCUGUAUUAUUUCAAUGGUCUCGCCAAUUGCUUUUUUGUUAAAUUCUGUUACUGUUUUCAGAUCAUGGAUUCCAAACUGGGAUCCUCUGCAGGCACUAAGCCAGGAGAGCGGAGCAGGGGGAGGGUGAGCAGUGGGUAAAUAGGUAACUAUAGAAAUAGUUUCUUCCCAUUCUCACCCACUUGUUAACAUACAGGAGGAGUAUGUAGACUCAGCAGUGUAUUCCCUGUCCAGUGUUUCAGGAAUUUUUUUCCAUGCAGAAAUGUGGGAUUCAGGUAUUACAGAGGGCUUUCACCAGGUUUCUGCAGGACUUUGGUGGUGUCACCAUUCGGAAUUUGUUUCUCUCCUGUCACAGAAUGCUUUGAUGGGACCUCCCAUCAGAGUAAAGCAUCUCCUCAGGUGCCUUUUCCCAGUGCCCAGGAGAGGUUUCUAUAGUCUAUUAUCCUUCCUUUGACAUUGAUCCAUACCCUGAGGCGAGGAAUGGAGUGAUCAGCUCAUCUGUUUUGCUGCACUUAAGAUGUCAGGAGGGCAUCCUAUCCUGAUACCUUCAGUUUGCACUAGUAAUUAGAAAUGCUGUAGUCCUAAAAAGCUCUGGAAAUAUAAUUAAAAUCAAACAUCGUACUUCCUGGGACAGAAAUUGGCAGUGGUACUUUCUGUUCCCUAGGAAAUGUCCAAAGCAAUAAAAAUGAGCCCUUGUUUGUGGACAGAUGGGAAGCUUCCUGUGUAGGACAGAGGAACAUGCAUGGCUGUUUUUACCUUCAUCUUACCAAGAGGGAUCAAAAGGGAAACACUGUUCCAGUGAAGGAGAUGUUCAGUCUGCUUUUUUCUUCUGUGUGGAAGAUGCAGUUUGUCUGUCUGAGAGAUAAUUGGACACCAGAUGACAAAGUGAGCUAAUUUUAAUAAAAAGGCUGAGGAAUAAAAUUUCAGUUUGCAGCUGUGGCUAAUUCUGUUCUGUUUGCAAUAAAAAUAAUAAUAACUUUCCUGUGACAUGUCCAUUUUAGCAUCUAUGUUGCAAAUAACUGGCAUAGCAACUUGAUAGAAAAAGACAUAAAGAUCCUUCCUGUAUUGCAACCAUUUUUUUUGAUGAGGAGAUAAAAAUGACCAAGUUGUGGAAGCAGUGAUAUCUGGGUCAUUGAAUCAAUCCGACACCGAUUUAUGACUGUGCUGGGAAAUGAAAAUGGAAAACAAAUAGUCCUAAAGUCCUGUUAACAGGAGAUACCUAUCACUCACUCUCAGCUUUUCAUUUUUAGGGAUAAAAGCACCAUAAGCACGGAACAUGACUCUCAGUUCAUAAAUCAGUUUUGAAAUAAAAAUUUUUUGAAGUCUACAGGGAAUCUUUACAGAACUGCUGUAUAAACCAGUAAUACAGAUGUGCAAAAAGCAGAAUGAGAUUAAAUGUUGUAUCUAUAACCUUAGACUUGGUUGAGGUUUAGGAAGGAUGUCAUCAUUCUUGUGGGCUGCCAAAGGCAGAAACACUGAUUUCUCCCUUGUUUGUUCUCAAGAUUUGUAAAAUUAGGUGCUAGUAAACUUUGUCAAGGAGCUGAAGUGCCAAUCUACCAAAAUAAUUGAACCUGCUCCUGAGAAUCAGUGAUGAGUAUUUUAUGACUCCAUAUGUGUGGUGGAUGCAGUUGCAGUAUCCCUCUGAGUUGUAGAGGAAUUCAAGCUGAGAGAAGCUCCAUAGAUUCUGCUUAUUGCCUCUCUGGUUGUUAAAGGAAAGCACAUGUCAAAUCAUGCACUGAUAGGAUAAUACGUUGCCAGCAGCAAGAUAUUUUGAGAUAACAUUUACUUAUAUACUGUAUAGAAAUGUCAGGCAAAAAGCAUGUGACUAGUUCCCUUAUUAAUUGAGGGUUUUAUUGUUUACUGAGAUAUUGUUCCACAGUCCUUGUGCAUGGUGUUCCUGCUGGAAAGGUAAAGCCAAAGCUCAGUGCUGUUUCUCUGUCCUGGCUUUAGUUUGUCUGCUCGGUGCCCUGUCUGCUGCUCUGCCUGACCAGGAUCGUGCUGGACUGGGACUGCAGCUGGAGCCACUGGGGCAGUUCCAUGGAAUGAUGUUGGCACUUUCAGGAGCUUUGCUCUGGGAACUGUCACUGAACCAAGUGCUGACCAGCACUCAGUGGCUCCGUGCCACUGCAGGGUUUGUCUUCUUCAAGUGUCCACAAAACACUCAAGCAUAAAGAGUUCUUCUGAACUGGGGGCUUGAUUUCUGCCUACUUAUGGUUUCCUGGGGAAUGUGUAGGAUUUUUUUCCUCAUUUCUUAUCUUGCUUGUUGAGUUAAAGCCUUUAGCUCAAGCCGCCUACAUUUCUGUUUUGGCUGUGGUAGAGGCAAUUGCUGAUCAUGAACGAGGCAGAUGUGGUAACACUGAUCCAUAUACAGAUGUUUCACCAUCUGUCUUGAGGGGGGAAAAUUCCUUUCUCAGUUGUUUCUAUAUCAACAAAUAAAACUGUCCUCCAAAACAUCAGGCAUGACCAGAAGAGCAGUAUCUGAUGGUGUUAUGCAAGAGCAGCAUACUAGUACAAGACUCAUGGCAUCUUGUGAGUUUGGCUGGAGGGUCUGAGAGUGCAGGGAGUUCUUUUUCAUCCCAUUCUAUUUCCUCAGCGUAAACAGAGUCCAGCUAUUACUCCCAGUUUGUCACUGAUUUUCAUCUAGAGUCUUCUGGCA
ensembl:lncRNA